CCAAAGGCUCUUUUAAGAGCCACCCACUUGUACUCAAAAAGAGCUG
rfam:Amazona aestiva scaffold_141, whole genome shotgun sequence.